rnacentral:tmRNA from 1 species
GGGGACGAAUAAGGAUCGACAUGCAUAGUAAAGAUGGUAGCUUUGCUCGGUUAGACACCACCGCUAAGAGUUCAUAAUUUAAAUGCAAACGAUAAUUUUGCUGCUGAAGACAAUGUCGACGCAAUAGCUGCUUAAUUUAAGCACUAUAACUUCAUUGCUAUAAGCACGGUUCAGGGAACGCCGGGUAACAGAAGUUCCCCAA